ACAAAAUGCAUAUGGUCUAUUAAAGUUAAAAAAUUGAAUAAUUCAUCGGAAUUAUUCCUCUAAUUUCAUCAAGAUGACCAGAUCGAAGAACCAUAGAUUGUUCUACUAUUUUCAUUGAUAUGAACGGCAGAAGAUUUAUAUAAAUGAUGAAUAUAUCGAAGAACCAACAAUUCCGAUUGCAAAAGAAGACGACCCAAUUGGUGGUUGUAGGGACGAAAUCUUUAAGUUUUUCAAAUAGAAACCAGGUUCUUUCUUCUGCUUUUUACAAAUUUGAUUUAUCUUCCAUUUGAAAUUUGAAUCGAAUUUUAGUAUAUUCAAAUCAAUUUGGUACACAAUUUUGACUUUUUGCACAAAAAAUUGAGUUGAAAUGAUUCAAUGAUAUAACAGAGAAAGGGAUAGAAGACGAAUGAAGAAAGUUGUUCAGAGAAUCAGAGUAUUUCUCCUCAAACAUCACUUCACAAUCUAUCCGUUCGUGUAUCUUCUGUUACAUAUAUUUUGAUAAAUGUAUUUCAUUGAUAUAAGUUUAAGUGAUCUGAUGGUAAGCAACCCCCACUUCCAACCGAGAGGUUGUGAGUUCGAGUCUCCCCAAGANNN
rnacentral:lncRNA from 1 species